UACGGAGGGUGCAAGCGUUGUCCGGAUUUAUUGGGUUUAAAGGGUGCGUAGGCGGCCCCGUAAGUCAGCGGUGAAACCCUUGGGCUCAACCCAAGGAGUGCCAUUGAUACUGCGGGGCUUGGGUUAUCUCUGGGCGGGCGGAAUGGAUGGUGUAGCGGUGAAAUGCAUAGAUAUCAACCAGAACGCCGAUAGCGAAGGCAGCUCGCUGGGGAUUUACCGACGCUGAGGCACGAUAGCGUGGGGAUCAAACAGG
rnacentral:rRNA from 1 species